GCUUGUAGGCCUGCUUUUAUUUUCCAGUAACUUGUCUGAAAAUCUUAUGGAUAUCUUAAUUUUUAUUCAAAAAUAUCAUGGUCUACAAUGUAGUCCGUGGCGUCUAUGCUCAAGAAGAACUUUUCUGUUUCUGUAUUUGUUACUGAUGUCCUCUAGCGCAGGGAUGGGAAAGUAUUUUGCAGUUAUGAAGCUGUUAUUUUCUCCCAACUGUCGCAAGGCUUAUAGUUUUAUUGAUAAAAUAAUGCAAUUUUCCGCUGCUACUGUGCUAUAAGUUUGUGGAAUUUUCUUUUAGGGCAGCCAAAAAAUGAAAUAAAUGUGUUAUCCGUGUCUCAUAGUUACUGGUACUUGCUUUGAGUGCUUGUCCGUUUCAGAGUUUUUUUUUUUCCUUCCCUUUAUUUAGCUGUAUAAAUUUAUGCGUAUUCUCUUUUACCGGUUUCUGCUAAUUAUAUUUGUCCACCUCGUUUUCUUUUACUGCAGAAAUUACUCCGUGCAGUAGGCCUCUUUGCUGGUUCCAUCAUUGUGAUGCGCCAGUAUGGCGAUCUAAUGGCCAUAUGAAAGCGGAUGAUGGUUGUCUGUCAUCGACUGUUUCUAGUAAAUUUAGGAUCGGUGGGGUCCUUCUGCAUUUUUUCGCUCAUCAUUUGUCUGAAUGAACUGAAACUUGUUAGAAUGAGUUUUCAAUUUUCGAAUUUUAGUUUUCGCUGACAAAAUACUUUCAUUAGUCAUGUAAUUUUUGAGGUUUUGUUAUGAUAUGUUGUGAGGGUUGGAUUUGAUAGAAUUAAUUAAAAGGGAGUGUAUUCAAUUGUGAUUUUUAGAGACUUAAUGGAUAUUUAAUGUAGACUUUUUAAAACGAUUUAGAAAUAAAUAGAGACUUUUGUAGGCUUUUU
rnacentral:lncRNA from 1 species